UCCGGUGUUUUUCUUUUUCUUUCUGGAUUAUUUCGCUAAGCAUGAUCCCUUCCAGCGCCAUCCAUGUUGCUGCAAAAAUUGCAUGUGUUUAUCUUUUUUGAAUGCUGAGUAAUAUUCCAUGGUGUAUAUGUACCACAUCUUCUUGAUCCAGUCAUCUAUUUUUGGGCAUUUGGGUUGUUUCCAAAGCUUACUACUAAACAUAGAGCUUCCAUAUGAUCCAGCAUUUCCACUCUAGGUAUUUACCCAAAGGACACAGAAACAUCGAUUCCAAAGAGCACCUGCACCCCUCUGUUUAUAGCAGCACUGUUUACAAUAGCUAAGCUUUGGAAACAUCUUCGUGUUUCAUAGAAGGUUCAUUCCAUUCCCGGCCCCUCCAUCUUCAGAGUCCCUCCACUGCACACUCCUCCUGCUCGUGGGCUCCCACCACCUUCCAGUUUUGUCUUCUCCAAGAAUGUCUCCACCUUUCCCCUCUGCCCCCAGGCCCUGUGAUUCAAUACUCUGCCACAUUUUCUAUUUCAGGCUAAUAGAGACCCUGAUGCUGGAGUUGCCGUAGAACAAGAUGCUCAGGUUCUUUCGGUUUCCUCUCCUCAACCCUGUUCACCGGAGCUGGUCUCCGGCACCACCCAACAGUGAUAAUGUCCUCCAGCUUCCCUGUUAGCCAAGGCAGACCCCAAGUCCAGUUUCAGAGAGAACCGUCCGCGGGAAGAGCGGAUGAAAAGGGCCUGUGACUCUCCCAGUAAAACCAUCACGUAUUAGGUCUCAUUUACCUGAGCAUCUUGUUCAACCGCAACUCCAGCAUCAAGAUCUCUAUUAGCCUGAAAUAGAAAAUGUGGCAGAGUAUUGAAUCACAGGAGCAUUUUUGUGCAAAAGGAGAAAUGGUUCCAUCUGAAGCAAGGACUAAAGGCAAAUGCUUUCUGGGAGCAGCAAAGGGAGAAAAUUUGCAUUUCUAAAUGGCUGAGCCAUGAUUCAGAUGAGAACCAAACGCUUCUGGAGCCUAAUUUGUUCACGGCGUGUCCUGUAAAGGAGAACAGUGGGAACAAGAAGGACAUAGAAUGAGGUAAAUAAUGUUAGCCUCUUACUACAGAUACCCGGACAUGGGACCACAGACACAGUAAACUUGGUGAUAGUGCAUAAUUGACAGAGUUGAUCAUUUUCCUAUCAACAAACUCAUGUUAUUUUAAUUUGUGAAAUGGAGAAUUCCUUUUGUGAAAGCUACCAUUUGUAUUUCUCCAACACGCCCUCUGGACAAACACUGUGAUGUCAACAAAAUGAGAGGGGUUGCUGCUGAGUCUUUUAUUUGACAGUUUUUGUUUCUUUUAACUUUGUGCUGAGAUAGAUUAUAUGUUUUUUCUUUUCUGAAGAAAUAAAGGA